rfam:Arabis alpina cultivar Pajares Aa.chr7_contig_1821, whole genome shotgun sequence.
AUUCCAUGGUGAGGACAACUUCUGCUGUAUCCUUUGACACGUUCCCUAGCUUCACUGAGGGAUUCAUGACUGCCCUGCCUAAAGGAGUUGAUAUCACUUCUCUACU